CUGGCUUCAGGUGGCUGCUCUGCACCACGGCUCCCAACCCAAACCCAUGGGACACCAUGGAGGGGCCGUGGGUGGUGUGGCUGUGGUGGGACGGGUGGUUCGGGGGCCUGAGCCACCUUCCAGGGGGCUUCACCUGCUCCAGCACCACCAGAAGCACUACCGGCCCCCUGCACUCACCUCUUCUCCUUCAACACCUUUCAUGGGGAAGGAGGUUGAAAAAAAAAAAAAAAAAAAGUAAAAUGACUCGUGUUUUGCAGAAAUACUUUGUAGGACUGAAUAAAAUCUCUCUAACACGUUUUCACUUUUGUUGUCUGUUUAUCUGGUGAGGACAACCUCCAAACCAGACGUCACAGAGAUUCAGCGCGUGCUUGAUGCGCUGCCCUUCUGACUCUGGAACUGCUGGAUCAGCCUGAAAAAUGUAAGAGUAUCGAGUGACGUAAAGCACGGCGAAGCCAAAUGCGGGCUGCUCUUUAAGGCAAGCAGGAUGUGUUUGCACGGUCUUCAUAGCAGACAGAAAAGGAGGGGUUUUGUGGGAUGAGGCACGAGCGUGAAAGACACUGGUGGGAGAAAAAACUGACAACUGGAUUACAGCUGCCUGCUGGGCAAAUUGCUGGCUGAAAGGACAUCGCUGGAUAUACAGAUGCAUCAGCAUCUACACGCGCUGUAUGAAGGCUGCUCGCCUUAUCUUCCAUCUCAAACAGCUGCAAAGGGGGCAGAAUGGCAAAAGAAACAUCCUGCAACGCCCCCUAACACACCCCCUAAAUACUUCCACCUUCCCAAACCCUUCCCAACAGAAGACACAAAUAUUCAAAACACAACCUGGAUGGUGCUGGCCGGCCCUGCGGUGCCAGAAGCGGGUUUCGGCAGGGGCUGUGCUCGGGCAGGAAAGCACCGUGGUGGUGCCUGGAAGCCGCGGAGCUGCUGGCUGCUGGUGGCUGCCUGCGAGUUGGCUUGGGGGUCACUUGGCACGCGUGGCCCAUGGCACCGAAUUCAACAGCGCCGCGCAGUUGAGCGUUGGAGGACCUGGUCCCUGCUGGCAAAAUCGCUCUCCCCGCUCCGUUGAUGAAGAUGGAUUGGUCCGAGUGGAACGUCGGGUCUUUGAGCCCAAAAUA